rnacentral:tRNA from 1 species
GGUCCGCUAGCUUAGCCAGGUUGAGCGCACGGCUGAUAACCGUGUUUUCGUUCUAAUUAAGAACGAAACGACAAAGGUCGUGGGACCGAAGCCCACGCGGACCACCA